CAAGUCACGAUGGCGGCUGCCGUCGGUCAGGUGCGGCUCAUUGAGGCUGCCCGAUGUGUAAUAGCAGUAGAGCUUACUUAGGUAGUUGCUUACCAAGUUGCUACGCACAACACUGUGUGAUUUGAAUUAUACAUGAGUUGCCGCUACAAUGAGGAAUUGUGUGAUGGAAUGGAAUUGGUUGAUUUUAUUU